ACGUGUGUCUCAUACAGGUUGCUGGGUCUGGGAAUUAUGUCUCGACAAAAGCAUCAUUUGCUGUGGCUGAUGGUCAUCUGUUGUGUUACAUGCCAGAUAACCUGCUCAAAAAUGAUGAUAAUUGGCGAGAAUUUGACAGAUACAUGUUUCUUGAGCAUCAACAGAUCAACCUGUCCAGCUAUAAACCUGAUAUCUCCACCAUCAAAUGAAAUACUGAUAGGAGAUUUUUGCAUAGUGAAUGUCAAGCACAACACGUCUUCCACAGGACAUUGCAAAACAUACAGUUUCAACAUAACAAACAAUGGGGGGAAAUAUGAAGUAAGAAUGAAUGAGCUGGCUAAAAACAUUAAAAUGUGGUUUUUCCCAAAUCCAUCUAAGUGCCUUACAUCAGAACUCCUGAAUUCAACAGGAUCCAUAUCAAAUCAUAUUGUGACUUGUCAGACACAGCAAAACAACUCCGACAUCAACACCACCAAGACUACCACAAUCACUAACAACACUACCAUCACUACUACCAGCCCUAUCACCAUCACUACUACCAGCCCUAUCACCAUCACCACCCCAACUAACAGCUCUACCAACACUGACUCUACCAUCACUACUACCAGCCCUAUCACCAUCACCACCGAAUUGACCAGCUUCCUCGCUACUAACAACUCUACCACCACCACCACCACCACGACUAAAUCUACCACUAUCACCAGUACUAACAACCCUACAAAUAGCUCUACCAUACCCACCACCACCUGCAAAGCCAAUUAUCCAAAUCCAUACAAAGGUUGUUUGGAAAUCCUUUCUGUUGAUCCUGAAGAGAAAUGUAAAAAUGCUGCAUAUGAAAAUGACACAUGCAGUGGGAAAGAAGAAAGCACAUACGUUCUGCAUUUAAAUGGGAGUGAAUGGAUGUGUGUGGCCUGCUUUGUAGAAGGAUCAACCACCUUCACACCACUGUCAAGCACCACAACUAAUCACAAUCCAGCUACCAUUUUCCCAACUCCCGAGCCAACUCUCCCAACAGCUGAGACAAUUUUAAAUCUACAAGGUUACCAAAACAACACAGAUAAAAUUGAUCCCCAAAAGGCAGCAAAAAACUUGGAAAAACUGGAGUCACUGGUGGAGCAGAUGGAGAAAAGCAAUAAAACCAAUGCAGCGAUUGUCAUGGGGGAUGUAAUUGGCGUUCUCCAAAGACAACCCAAGAACACAGCAACCAAAGACAUCAACAUAUGCUACUCUUCAAGUCAGAAUUUAAUAAACGUUGUUGAGAGCAACCAGGCUGGUUUUCCCUGGUCUGUAAAGAUUCCCAGCGAGGCCUUUAAUAAAUCACGGCAGGAAAACAAUGGAAGUGCAUUUGUUGGAAUUUUACGGUUCAAAAAUAUGGGAAAUAAGGAGGACAGUAAAACUCACACUGUUUUGAACAGUGAGAGUUAUGGAAUAACGAUGGGGGCCAGUAUUUCCAACCUCUCCAACAAUAUUGACAUGAUCAUUAAAAAGAAAGAUAAUCUGACCGGUAAUGUGUCCUGCGUUUCUUGGGAUGGCAAAGGAGAACUUAAAUGGACGACGUCCGGCUGUGAGACAGAAAUCGACAACAACACCAUAAAGUGCUCCUGCUCACAUCUGACGUUCUUUGCAGUGCUGAUGUCCCUGCAAAAACCAAAUGACACAGUGCCGGAUCUGGAAACAUUGACUUUAAUUUCUUCAGUCGGCUGCGGCAUCUCCAUGUUUUUUCUGGCCAUCGCUUUAUUCAUGCAUUUCCUGCUACGGUAG
ensembl:lncRNA